AUGCCCCUCUGGUAUAUUUUGCCCAUGUUCCACCAGUGUAUUCUUAGAAUUCCAGAGAUGAGAAUGCUGUAACUGCCCUUGAAAUCUGCCCUGAUCUCCAACAUCUGGAUUGUGACAAUUACUGAGCUAUUGUUCAGAUACAAGUUAAUCAUAGAGUAGUGUGAUCCUGGCUCACUGCAACCUCUACCUCGUGGGCUCAAGUGAUCCUUCUCCCUCAGCCUUUGGAAUAGAUGAGACUACAGCCUGACUGAGCCUUACUUCUCAAUUCCUCUACAUUCUAUGAUUGACAUCUGUCUGCAUAAACAAUGAAAAAACAGUUAUAUUGAAAAUCAUUGUUUCUCUGAGCCCAAGAGACCAGCCUGAGUAACAUGGUAAAACCCUAUGAAGAAAGAAAGAAAGAAAGA